GUAUCUUUGCCCUCGCAAGGUUUCGGAACGGGGCUCAUACGCACCCCGGCCGAUGAAAAGGGAAUCCGGUGAAAAUCCGGAAUAGUACCUGCUGCUGUAAGUCCCCUCCCCUCGCGGGAGACGACGGUUGCCGCACAUUAUGCCACUGGCUCGAAAGCCGGGAAGGCGCGGCAACAGGGAUAAGUCAGAAGACCUGCCUUGCAAGGAUUCGCACC
rnacentral:ncRNA from 2 species